rnacentral:rRNA from 1 species
UACGUAGGGUGCAAGCGUUGUCCGGAAUUAUUGGGCGUAAAGAGCUCGUAGGCGGUUUGUUGCGUCGGCUGUGAAAUCCCGAGGCUCAACCUUGUCGGUGCGAGUCAUACGAGCAAACUAGAGUGUUGCAGGGGGAGACUGGAAUUCCUGGUGUAGCGGUGAAAUGCGCAGAUAUCAGGAGGAACACCGGUGGCGAAGGCGGGUCUCUGGGCAACAACUGACGCUGAGGAGCGAAAGCGUGGGGAGCGAACAGG